rnacentral:rRNA from 1 species
CCUACGGGUGGCAGCAGUGAGGAAUAUUGGUCAAUGGACGAGAGUCUGAACCAGCCAAGUAGCGUGAAGGAUGACUGCCCUAUGGGUUGUAAACUUCUUUUAUAUGGGAAUAAAAUGUUCCACGUGUGGGAUUUUGUAUGUACCAUAUGAAUAAGGAUCGGCUAACUCCGUGCCAGCAGCCGCGGUAAUACGGAGGAUCCGAGCGUUAUCCGGAUUUAUUGGGUUUAAAGGGAGCGUAGGUGGAUUGUUAAGUCAGUUGUGAAAGUUUGCGGCUCAACCGUAAAAUUGCAGUUGAAACUGACAGUCUUGAGUACAGUAGAGGUGGGCGGAAUUCGUGGUGUAGCGGUGAAAUGCUGAGAUAUCACGAAGAACUCCGAUUGCGAAGGCAGUUCACUGGACUGCAACUGACACUGAGGCUCGAAAGUGUGGGUAUCAAACAGGAUUAGAUACCCUAGUAGUC